rfam:Capsicum annuum cultivar Zunla-1 chromosome 1, whole genome shotgun sequence
AGGGAUAUAACUCAGUGGUAGAGUGUUACCUUGAUGUGGUAGAAGUCAUCAGUUUGAGCCUGAUUAUCCCUA